rnacentral:rRNA from 1 species
UUCUACAGCCAUAGCACCCUGAAUGUACCUGAUCUCUUCCAAUCUCAGAAGUUAAGCAGGGUUGGGCCUACUUAGUGCUUGGAUGGGGGAAAAUAUAAUGUUAUAUGAU